AACGUAGGAGACAAACGUUAUCCGGAGUUACUGGGCGUAAGGGCGUGUAGGUGGUUUCGUAAGUCUGGCGUGAAAUUUCUCGGCUUAACCGAGGCAGGUCGUCGGAUACUGCGGAACUAGAGGACGGUAGAGGCGUGUGGAAUUCCGGGUGUAGCGGUGAAAUGCGCAGAUAUCAGGAGGAACACCAAUAGCGAAGGCAGCUCGCUGGGACGGUAUUGACGCUGAGGCGCGAAAGCGUGGGGAGCAAACAGG
rnacentral:rRNA from 1 species